UACGGAGGGUGCAAACGUUGCUCGGAAUCAUUGGGCGUAAAGCGCACGUAGGUAGUUUGUUAAGUCGGGUGUGAAAGCCCUGGGCUCAACCCAGGAAGUGCACUCGAAACUGGCAGACUUGAGUACUGAAGAGGGUCGCGGAAUUCCCGGUGUAGAGGUGAAAUUCGUAGAUAUCGGGAGGAACACCAGUGGCGAAGGCGGCGACCUGGGCAGAUACUGACACUGAGGUGCGAAAGCGUGGGGAGCAAACAGG
rnacentral:rRNA from 1 species